CGGACUGUAGCGCAGCUUGGUAGCGCACCGUCAUGGGGUUCGGGGGUCGGAGGUUCAAAUCCUCUCAGUCCGACCA
rnacentral:tRNA from 1 species